UACGUAGGGGGCAAGCGUUGUCCGGAUUUAUUGGGCGUAAAGAGCGUGUAGGCGGCCAGGUAGGUCAGCUGUGAAAACUCGAGGCUCAACUUCGAGCUGUCGGUGGAAACUGUCUGGCUAGAGUCCGGAAGAGGAGAAUGGAAUUCCUGGUGUAGCGGUGAAAUGCGCAGAUAUCAGGAAGAACACCCGUGGCGAAGGCGGUUCUCUGGGACGGUACUGACGCUGAGACGCGAAAGCGUGGGGAGCGAACAGG
rnacentral:rRNA from 1 species